CAUGCAAGUCGAACGGCAGCACAGAAAGAACCUUGCUCCUUUGGGUGGCGAGUGGCGGACGGGUGAGUAAUGUCUGGGAAACUGCCCGAUGGAGGGGGAUAACUACUGGAAACGGUAGCUAAUACCGCAUAACGUCGCAAGACCAAAGUGGGGGACCUUCGGGCCUCACACCAUCGGAUGUGCCCAGAUGGGAUUAGCUAGUAGGUGGGGUAAUGGCUCACCUAGGCGACGAUCCCUAGCUGGUCUGAGAGGAUGACCAGCCACACUGGAACUGAGACACGGUCCAGACUCCUACGGGAGGCAGUAGUGGGGAAUAUUGCACAAUGGGCGCAAGCCUGAUGCAGCCAUGCCGCGUGUAUGAAGAAGGCCUUCGGGUUGUAAAGUACUUUCAGC
rnacentral:rRNA from 1 species